UACGAAGGGGGCUAGCGUUGUUCGGAAUUACUGGGCGUAAAGCGUAUGCAGGCGGAUCGUUAAGUCGGGGGUGAAAUCCCGAGGCUCAACCUCGGAACUGCCUUCGAUACUGGCGAUCUUCGAGUCCGGGAGAGGUGAGUGGAACUCCGAGUGUAGAGGUGAAAUUCGUAGAUAUUCGGAAGAACACCAGUGGCGAAGGCGGCUCACUGGCCCGGUACUGACGCUGAGAUACGAAAAGCGUGGGGAGCAAACAGG
rnacentral:rRNA from 1 species